GCGAAGUCUGCUCUAAUUUCAUAGAGAAGUAGCAGGUUGAUAAAUCUUACACAAUUUAAUUCGGAAUUUCUUCCAGAUCGUGAUCCUGCAAGACUGCCAUGCAGAAGAAACCAGAGAGACCUGAUUUUUGAAGAGAAACUUUGCCAAAUUUGAAAGGGAUAAGGAAGAAGGAUGAAGCCCAAAGAGAUGCUGAUCUCACAGCGGGUCGAGCCACUGAAGAGGAUGAGGAGGAUGUCUGACUAUGGCACCUGGGCCAGGACAGGACACUAGACCCGCCCAUUUGGUCCAAAUUCGGCAGCAAGUCCUUCAAGCCAAUGGCAGCAAGAGGGAAAGUGUAAAAACGACAUUUUCAGACUAAAGGCUUUAACUUGGGUCGUCACGAUACCAGAAGGUCAGCAGUUGAUACCGAUACCUAUGAAUUUCUACGAUUCCUGCUGCGAUAAAGAUUUAAAAAAAAAAUCUGAACCCAUGUACUUUUAAAUCUAUCUAAAAAGUGUCAAGUACUUAAGAUCCAUGGUUGACAACAUAAUUAAAUAUCAGUAUGAGGUGCUAAGAACUGCAGCCCAGCAGGCACAAGACAUUGAUACAAUGUUGAUUAUACGUACAUGUCCUUUACAACUGACUUUGAAACGACGUUGCAAAAUAGUUGGAUUUGUAAAUUAAGACAACGUUGAUGUCCAACGUUGGAUCCACGUUUUUGGUUGGGAAAUGACUAAAAUUCAAUUAACGUGGACCCCGACUUAAACAAGUUGAAAAACUUAUUCGGGUGUUACCAUUUAGUGGUCAAUUGUACGGAAUAUGUGCUGAACUGUGCAAUCUACUAAUAAAAGUAUCAAUCAAUCAAUCAAUCAAAGGUCAAGUCAACGUCACAACCUGACAUUGAAUAAACAUCAAAAAACAUGUUGUUUCAACCUUGUAUUUGUGUUGUAUAGUAUUGGUUGGGAUAUUACCAACAUUCAAUGGUCAAAUCAACGUCACAACCUGACAUUGAAAUAACGUCGUCAAAAAGUACAGUGUUUCAAUUUUAUAUUUGUGUUGUAGAGUAUUGGUUGGGAAAUUACCAACAUUCAGGUCAAAUCAACAUCAGAACCCAACAUUGAUUAAACGUUGUCAAAAAGCAUGUUGUUUCAAUGUUGUAUUUGUGUUGUAGAAUAUUCGUUGGGAAAUUACCAAAAUUCAAUGGUCAAAUCAACGUCAGAACCCAACUUGAUUAGACGUUGUCGCAAAACAUGUUGUUUUAACGUUAGGUUUGAGUUGCUCAACUUCAGGACCUAAUUCAACAAUUUAUCAACGUUAUUUCAAUGUUUUGUGCCUGCUGGGAGUGUUCUAUAACCUCUGAGUGCAUCAAAUCAAACAAUACUGUGAUUAUAUACAUAUAUGAUCAUAAACAACAAAUAUUUUACAUUCCAAAAAAAAGAGUGAUGGCAUGGAGCCUGCAAGUAUAUAAAACAAACAAUAUCAGUAUAACAAUAACAUCUGAAAUUUUCACUUUGUAACAUUCUUACAUUUGACAAUCCUAGCCUUUACAUACAGUGUGUUAGUUGUUGACUCUCUGACUCAAGAUUCCAGAUUCCAGAUUAUUUAUUUUCAAUUCUUAACAUGCACAAGACACAUAAGAACUGAAAAUUACAUUUUCGGCACAGUCCCACUAAGAGCAGACAUACGUUACAGGGAGACAAGACAGGACCGCCAACGGAUCAGCCAUUUUUACGGCGCUCCUUAAAAAGGUGAGAAAAGGGUGACAUUGGGUGAGAGGAGAGGGAGUAAAAACAAUAUCAGUCUAAGGCUAGACCCUCAGCAGGGGUCCAGACUAUCCAUACAUCCAUUUUCUACCGCUAAUUCCCUUUUUUGGGGUCGCGGGGGGCGCUGGCGCCUAUCUCAGCUACAAUCGGGCGGAAGGCGGGGUACACUCUGGACAAGUCGCCAUCUCAUCGCAGGGCCAACACAGAUAGACAGACAACAUUUACACUCACAUUCACACAUUAGGGCCAAUUUAGUGUUGCCAAUCAACCUAUCCCCAGACUAAGUCCAAGGGGAAAAAAAAAACUCACAUAGCAUGGCACACAUUUAGACAUGGCACGUAUAUCGCACCAAUUGCAACAGAGGGAGGGGGUGGGUUUGAGGAGACUCGCUGAUGCUGUAUAGCGCUGCUCAGCCAUCCACAGCCCCAGGGGAAUUAAGCAGUGGUGAAGGCGUUGAUUUCAAGGGUGGGGGUCCUGUGUGUGCGUAUAUACCCAAUUAACUUUGGGAGAGAUGAUGAAUUUUUUUGUAUGCCUGAGGCCGUUAAAGUUCAGCUACAGGUGUUGUUGACAAAAAGGAAGGUCCAAAGCAACUAUCUUUGAGGAUGCCUCGGGAGAUUUUCUUCAGAACAGCCCGUUCCCUUGUCAAGGCCAUUCAAGGGAGUCCAAAUCGUAGAUUAAGAAGUUGUUUUUACUCAAGGAGACAAAAAUAGUGACUUAUCUCUCUGUUUGUCCAUGCUGGAUUUCUUCAAUUCCAAUUCAUUAUUCCUUCUUGGCAAACUUUUCCAAGAUGAGAUCCAUUUUGCGAUUCAACUCAGAAAUCGCACCAGUCUGUGUUCCCACAGCCCGACCCAAUCCUUCCAUUGCGUUGAACAGCCGUUGGGCCCCUUGAGUGGCUGCCAUUGUCUUCCGAAUUUGUCGAUACACCAGAGCAAUGCCCAGCCCAAUCAGCAAGUGCCCCACGAUCACAGCUCCAAAUAGGUAGAUGUCUUCGACGUCCUCGAUUGAAAGGGCUGAGGCACAUAAUCCUCCAUGUGUUCCAGGAGUCCCUCACGUACACCGCAGCGAUGGUUCCAUCAGGGCAGCCAGGCUCCCCCGAACCUCUUUUCCUUGUCGAAAAGACUGUGUCAAUUGCCUCAAGAGUCCAGCUGAUCAUAUUCAUAUUGAAAUUUGGAUUAGAGGACAGUGCAUAGUAUUUAUUUCCAAUUCUUUCAGACUUGACAUUAUUACUUUAGUUCAUUCCGAAUAUUAAUGUUUUCUAUAACACUCCUAAUUUUAGUUCUAUAGAUGCCCAAAUACUUCACCGCAGAUUUUACAGGAAUAUUAAAAUCAGUGGAUGUGGCACAAAAUCUCACGUUAACGUUAAAUUUUAGAACUGAAGCCUUUGAGAAAUGAUCAAUUGUUUUGAGUAUUUGGAGUUAUUUGAUUGAGAUUAUUCAAGAAUAUGGUUGGAUAUUUUCUUUACCAAAGUCAGCAUUUUAAUUAAAAUAGCAAGCAUUUCUGUUGCCAUAAUAAACAAUAGAGGGGAGACUGGAAAUCCUUGUUUGAUUAUUUGAUCACACUAAUGAAGUUAUUACUGAAUCCAAACAAGUCCAAAGCUUGAAACAUAAAUUUGUGUUUAAAAAAGUACAAAACCUUCAUUUUCAAUUAUGGAAUCAUAGUCUAUUAGAGGAGCCUGUUCAGUGCUAGACUGCUUCAUCCCAAGUGCAGGACUAAUAGACUCAAAAACUCCUUUGUCCCACACGCCAUUAGACUGUACAACUCCUCUCUGGGGCGGAGGGUACUAGGAUGACAGGGGAUGCAAAACAAUAACAGUGCAAUACAUUUUCAUAACAUGGUCACUACUGCCUACUUUGUCUUGUUAUAUUCUUAUUUUACUGUUAUAUUUUUAUUCCCAUUGUUGCUUUUUAUUUUUUAUUCUUAUUGUAAUAUUUCUCUAUUUUGUUUCCAUUUAAACCCCCAUUAUUUACUUUUUUAAAUUGAUCUCAACUCUGUACACUGCUGCUGGAAUUUUAAUUUUCCUGAAGGAAUCAAUAAAGUACU